UAGCUCAGUUGGUAGAGUGCUUGUCUCACAAGCACAAGGCCCUGGGUUCAAUCCCCAG
rnacentral:tRNA from 1 species